rnacentral:lncRNA from 1 species
AGGAAUUAUACCAUAAUUCUGCAAAAGGUAGUAUUUCUAACCAUCUUCGUGGUUUGUCGUGAAUGGCAGAUCUUAUGUAAUGCUCGAUUGUUUUAUUAACAAUCUCCGUCUGCCCAUCAGACUAAGGGUGGUAGGCAGAUGAUAGUGACAUCUUGCAUCCACUUAACCGGUUAAGUUCUUUCCAAAACUUGCAGGUAAACACUUUAUCACGAUCUGAUACUAUAGACCUUGGAAAUCCAUGUAAUUUAAUUAUGUUGUGUAUGAAAUAAGUGGAAACACCUGUUGCAAUGUAGGACGACGGUAGAGCCCCUAGGUGCGCGAACUUGGACAAUCUGUCCACAACAACCACGAUUACGCUCCUUCCUUUAACAAUCGGUAAUCCUGUAAUAAAAUCAAUCGAAAUAUCUUGCCAUACUGUUUUUGGAAUAGGGAGUGGCAUUAAUAAACCAUACUUCUUAAUAUUCUCUACCUUCAUUUGCUGACAACAUAAACAUUUAUCAACAUAAUCUUUAAUUUUUACUCCAAUACCUUCCCACCAAAAAGAGUUACGAAUUCUUUUGAAUGUUCUUUCGAAUCUCGUGUGUCCACCAAUUAUUGAACCAUGUAGUGUUUCUAGGAUUUUAUUUACCAACUCAGAAUCCUUAGGUAUCCAGAUUCUCAUCUUAUAGAAAAUCAGGUCAUCCACAAAUCCAUAAUCACCACCUUUCCUCUUCCCUACCAAUAUAUCAUUUUUUAUGUUCUGUUCCUAAUUCCUAUCUUUGAUUUCUGUUUUGAGAGCUACUAUAAUACAAUUCUUUUGUAUAAUCAUAGAGUAAAAUGUACUGCCUGUAUUUGGAGUUUCCGAGUCAUUUUCUUCAAAUUGUCUUGAAAAUCCAUCUGCUGUUGUAUUUUCUCUACCUGGCUUGUACAUAAUUUCAAAGUCGAACCCUAAGAGUUUAUAAAGAAACUCUUGUUGUCCUGGAGUCUGAAUUACUUGUGUCAAUAGAUUUUUCAAACUUCGAUUAUCGGUCUUGAUCAUAAAAUGCCUCCCUAAAAGGUAGUGACACCAUUUACCGACAGUUUGCGUAAUUGCAUAUAAUUCUCUUGUAUAAGUAGAAGUCAUCCUUCUUCUCCCAUAUAAUUUCCUACUGUAAUAAGCCAAUGGAUGCUCAUCUUGUAUUAAGACAGCCCCGAUACCUGUCUGGGAUAUAUCUGUUUCCACGACAAAUAGAUUAGAAAAAUUCGGAUAACUUAAAACUGGAGUUGCAAGCAUUGCCUUUUUCAAGGCAGUAAAACUAUCUGUUGCUUUUUCACUCUAUUUAAAUUUAUUCUUCUUCAACAAUUCUGUCAUUGGCUGAUCUAUCUAAGCAUAUUGUUUCACAAAUCGUCUAUAGUACCCUGUUAAGCCUAAGAACCCUCUUAGUUGCUUAAUAGUAGAAGGAAUUUGCCAACGCAGCAUAGCAUCCACUUUCUCUGGAUCCGGUCGGACUCCAUCUCCUGCUAUAACAUGACCCAAAAAUUGUAAUUGUUUCUUUUCAAAGGAACACUUGCUUAACUUCGCUGCCAAUGAAUUUUUCUUUAAGAUUUCAAAAACUGCCUCCAAAUGAAUUAUGUGCUCCUGUUCUGAUUUGCUAAAAAUCAAUAUAUCGUCAAAAAAUAUUAUCACAAACCUUCUUAGGUGUUCUUCAAAAAUUUCAUUCAUUAGGGCUUAGAAGGUAGCCGGUGCAUUGGUUAGCCCAAAGGGCAUUACCAAAAAUUCAAAGUGUCCGCUAUGAGUUCUGAAAGCCGUCUUAGGAAUGUCUGGAGGAUGUAUUCGGAUCUGAUGGUAACCCGAUUUUAGAUCAAGUUUUGAAAAUAUUGUCGCACCUCUAAGUUCACCCAGCAAUUCGUCAACAGUUGGGAUUGGAAAACGAUCCUUAACUGUUAUAUUGUUUAAUCCCCGAUAAUCAACACAUAGACGUCAGCCUCCAUCUUUCUUCUUUACUAAAAUUAUCGGCGAUGAAUAUGGGCGUGUGCUUGGUCUCACAAUGCUCUGAUUUAUCAUUUCUUUGACUAGAUUUUCCAUUUCAGCUUUUUGAUAUUAUAGGUAGCGAUAAGGCUUUAUCGAGAUGGGUUUAACUCCUGGUAUAAUGUGUGUGAAAUGGUCUUUGUUUCUGAAUGCUGGUAAUGAAGUUGGAACUUCAAAUAUAUCAACAUAUGAAUUGAGUAGCUCCUUUUCUCCAUUGGUACUUUCUGAUUCAAUUCCUUGAUCUGAUCCACCUCAUUCGUGUUACUGAACUGCAAGUGUAAUAAAUAGCCAGAAUGUGUUCUUGCCGAUAAUGACUUAAGCUCUCUGAUGAUAAGGGUUUAUCAUCAAUCCAACUAGUACCUGACUACUUCACUACUUUAUCAUUCAAUUCAAACUCCAUGUCUAAUUCUUUAUAAUUUGUCACCACUCUUCCCAGUGUACGUAGCCAUUGUAUCCCCAGUAUGACAUUUGCACCCUCUACUGGAAGUAGAUAUAAAUCAAUACUUAUUUCAGUACCUUGAAUUGUUACCCUUGUAUUUUUGCAUACUCGAUCACACUUCAAUUUGACUCCGCUGCCCGUUGUAACUAAAAACUCUACUGUUUUAGAUACUGGAAGUUGGGUCUUUUCCACCAUAGAAGAUUGUAUAAAGUUGUGUGUUGACCCAGAGUCAACCAAUAUAGAAACUUGUUUUCUUCCAAUCAGCCCUUUGUAAUCUGAUUUUUUUAGGAUCAAUUACUCCGUCCAAUGCAUUCAAGCUAACUAGUGUAGUUUCGCUGGAUCUAGGUUGCUCUUGAUGAAACUCCUCUUCAUCUGAACUUUCCUCAUCAGAAUGAUUAAAUUCAAAAAGUUGCUUCCCAUCAGCCGAUAGUAUAAAUAGUGUACCUUUACACUUGUGACCCUUGAACCAUUUUUCCUCACAAUUAAAACAUAGAGACUUCUCCCUUAUGAUCUUCUUUUCUUCUUCGCUCAGUUGUUUCCUUACAUUAGGAAUUGCUGAAAUAACAUUUUAUGUUCUCUUAUGUGGUGGCACAUAAGAUUUUGAUUCUCCCGCAGUCCAUUUUGACCGAUAUUUUGAUUUUGUUCCUCGAACUUCCUCGCACAUAUUUGCUAGCGAAAAAGCUUCAUUGAGAUCUUUAGGCCUGGCCAGUAGUAAUUUCUCCUGCAAUUUAGGAUUUAAUCCUAUAAUGUACAUUUCUUUUAACGUAUCCCUGGAUACUCCGUGAGCUUUAGUAGCCAACCCCUCGAACUUCUUUUGAUAUUCUGUUGCUGAUAAGGAUUCUUGAUUCAACUUACUUAGUCUUCCUGUAAGUUAUUUUUUUCUUCCAUCCACACCAGCCAAUCUAGAGCAUCUCCUUCUAGACUCUAAGUUGCUAAGAAUAACCUUUUAUCAUCCCUGAUAUGAUAGUGUCUGAAAAACUUUGUAAUCUUCAAUAACCAUCCUUCUACAUUUUUCCCAGAAUUUUUUGGAAUAUCCUUUCCUGGUGGUUUGAUGCAGUCUUGUUUGAUUUGAGACCUGUGACUUCCCCACCAGAUCCACUAGACGUAGAUCCACUAAAGGUAGAUCCAAGGACCUUACUUUGGACUUCUUUAAUUGAUUUUUCUAGUUGUUUAGUAACCACCGAAAAUUGAGUUACGGCAGCAGAAUUUAAUAAAAGUGUCUGCUCUCUUUGCUCUUUUUGGAUCUCUUCUAGACUCGCCUCCAUUGUUGCCAACAAUACCUAAUUAUAUCGAUGUGAUAUUAGAGAUAUUUCAAAUCAGAAGAAUAAAUGAACGAUUCUUCCCUACUGGAGACCUAGUUAAGGGCUAGGACAUCCCCUGAAAAUUGAAUAUUGAAAUUUUGUCCUGACGUAUUUGGCAACAACCACCUUUUCUUUGCAGCAACGUUUGCAAUUUCUGCUCUUUCCUUAGAUCUGAACAGCUAGAAAAUAGUUCUAUAAAUAGAAGAUUUAUAUAUUAAAUUGAUUUGAACGGUUACUUUCCUGCUAGGGAUCUAGUCAAGGGCUAGGACAUCCCUUGGAGAAUUUGUUUGAAUGAUUUUCGUCGUUCCAGACCGUGAGCACCCUUACACCAGAGAUUAGAACACCGAUUGAAAGCACCAAUUGUAACCAUUAGACUGUAAUUGAUGUGGGAAGAGAGCUGAAAGGAU